GUGUCAGCCGCCGCGGUAAUACGUAGGGUGCGAGCGUUAAUCGGAAUUACUGGGCGUAAAGUGUGCGCAGGCGGCGUCGCAAGUCGAGUGUGAAAGCCCCGGGCUUAACCUGGGAAUUGCGCUCGAAACUACGGUGCUGGAGUGUGGCAGAGGAAGGUGGAAUUCCACGUGUAGCGGUGAAAUGCGUAGAGAUGUGGAGGAACACCGAUGGCGAAGGCAGCCUUCUGGGCCAACACUGACGCUCAUGCACGAAAGCGUGGGGAGCAAACAGGAUUAGAAACCCCUGUAGUCC
rnacentral:rRNA from 1 species